AUUCUGGUUGAUCCUACCAGUAAUGUACGCUCGUCUCAAAGGUUAAGCCAUGCAUGUCUAAGUACAUACUAAAAUAAAGUGAAACCGCAAAAGGCUCAGUAUAACAGCUGUAAUUUCUUAGAUCAUAUUCCCAGUACUUGGAUAACUGUGGAAAAUCUAGAGCUAAUACAUGCA
rnacentral:rRNA from 3 species